rnacentral:rRNA from 1 species
UACAGAGGGUGCGAGCGUUAAUCGGAAUUACUGGGCGUAAAGCGUGCGUAGACGGUUAUUUAAGUCAGAUGUGAAAGCCCCGGGCUUAACCUGGGAACUGCGUUUGAAACUGGGAGACUUGAGUGUGGCAGAGGGGGGUGGAAUUCCACGUGUAGCAGUGAAAUGCGUAGAUAUGUGGAGGAACACCAAUGGCGAAGGCAGCCCCCUGGGUCAACACUGACGCUCAUGCACGAAAGCGUGGGGAGCAAACAGG